rnacentral:ncRNA from 1 species
GAAAGAACGUUCUAUCUGUUCGAAUUUAUAUUUUCAUCGAUCGGGAUUGUUCCAGAUAAUUUAUCACAAGUAGUAUGGAUUAUCUGGCUUGUGGCAGUCAGGCGUUCAUAGCGACUUUGCUUUUUGAUCCUUCGAUGUCGGUACUUCCUAUCAUACUAAAGCAGAAUUCAGUGAGCAUUGGAUUGUUCGCCCAUAAAUAGGGAACGGGAGCUGGGCUUAGAUCGCCGUGAGAAGGUUAGUUUUACC